CAAAGGAAGUUGACGGGGAGCACCACAACGGGUGGAGCUUGCGGUUUAAUUGGAUUCAACGCCGGAAAUCUUACCGGGACCGACAGCAAUAUGAAGGCCAGGCUGAAGACUUUGCCGGAUUAGCUGAGAGGUGGUGCAUGGCCGUCGUCAGUUCGUACUGUGAAGCAUCCUGUUAAGUCAGGCAACGAGCGAGACCCACGCCCACAGUUGCCAGCGUACUCUCUGGAGUGACGGGUACACUGUGGGGACCGCCGCUGCUAAAGCGGAGGAAGGAAUGGGCAACGGUAGGUCAGUAUGCCCCGAAUAUCCCGGGCUACACGCGAGCUACAAUGGUUGGUACAAUGGGUAUCUACCCCGAAAGGGGACGGGAAUCUCCUAAAACCAAUCUUAGUUCGGAUUGAGGGCUGCAACUCGCCCUCAUGAAGCUGGAAUCCGUAGUAAUCGCGUUUCAACAGAACGCGGUGAAUACGUCCCUGCUCCUU
rnacentral:rRNA from 1 species